GACGAACGCUGGCGGCGUGCUUAACACAUGCAAGUCGAACGGAAAGGCCCUGCUUUUGUGGUGUUCUCGAGUGGCGAACGGGUGAGUAACACGUGAGUAACCUGCCCUUGACUUUGGUAUAACUUCAGGAAACGGGGGCUAAUACCGGAUAGGAGCUCCUGCUGCAUUGUGGGGGUUGGAAAUUUUCGGCGGUUGGGGAUGGACUCGCGGCUUAUCAGCUUGUUGGUGGGGUAGUGGCUUACCAAGGCUUUGACGGGUAGCCGGCCUGAGAGGGUGACCGGCCACAUGGGGCCUGGGAUAGGGCCCAGACUCCAACGGGAGGCAGCAGGGGGAAAUAUUGCACAAUGGGCGGAGGCCGGAUGAAGCAACGCCGCGUGGGGGAUGACGGCCUUCGGGUUGUAAACCGCUUUCGCCUGUGACGAAGCGUGAGUGACGGUAAUGGGUAAAGAAGCACCGGCUAACUACGUG
rnacentral:rRNA from 1 species